GAUCCUGGCUCAGGAUGAACGCUAGCGGCAGGCUUAACACAUGCAAGUCGAGGGGCAGCGUGAGGGUUAGCAAUAACCCUUGACGGCGACCGGCGCAAGGGUGCGUAACGCGUGAGCAACUUGCCCUUAUCAGGGGGAUAACCGGUGGAAACGCCGACUAAUACCCCAUGGCAUUGGUUGGAGGCAUCUCCUUCCAAUUAAAGAAAUUCGGAUAAGGAUAGGCUCGCGUGACAUUAGCUAGACGGCGGGGUAACGGCCCACCGUGGCUACGAUGUCUAGGGGUUCUGAGAGGAAGGUCCCCCACACUGGAACUGAGACACGGUCCAGACUCCUACGGGAGGCAGCAGUGAGGAAUAUUGGUCAAUGGUCUGACGACUGAACCAGCCAUGCCGCGUGAAGGUCACGGCCCUAUGGGUCUUAAACUUCUUUUGCGAGGGAGCAAUAAGGUCUACGUGUAGUCCGAUGAGAGUACCUCGCGAAUAAGCAUCGGCUAACUCCGUG
rnacentral:rRNA from 1 species